UACGUAGGGUGCGAGCGUUGUCCGGAAUUAUUGGGCGUAAAGAGCUUGUAGGCGGUCUGUCGCGUCUGCUGUGAAAAUCCGGGGCUCAACCCCGGACUUGCAGUGGGUACGGGCAGACUAGAGUGUGGUAGGGGAGACUGGAAUUCCUGGUGUAGCGGUGAAAUGCGCAGAUAUCGGGAGGAACACCUGAGGCGAAGGCGGGCUACUGGGCCGAUACUGACGCUGAUGCGCGAAAGCCAGGGGAGCGAACGGG
rnacentral:rRNA from 1 species